GUACACAUUCAGACAAUGUCGAGGAAGGAAGUAUUUGUCACUGGAACGUGCUCUGAAAGCAUGGGUUUGGGAUCAGCUGGGCAUGCGCUGUGGAGUGGCACAACCUGCCUUCCCCUACUCUGCACAGAUGUCGGUGAACGGAGCCUCUGACACCCAGGCUCUCCUGGCACCAGGAGCGGCCAACGCACCUAUUGAUCACUACCUCAGCAUAAAAGGGGUGUGAGAGAAAGCAGCUGAGAUCUGAAGACAGCACGGCUUUUCCAGGAGGAAAGCUCUUCACGUGAUGUGACUGACAGCACCAUGUCGCCACAGAAACACUUGACAAGUAGGAAACACCAGGGGAGUCCCUGACUGCUCCUUCAACUGUCCUCUUUACCUUUCCGGGGUUGGUUUUCUGUUAACAUUUUCUUCUCCUAUACAGUGUCUCAUGAGAGGAGAGCCACUGUGACCUUGGCACGGC
rnacentral:lncRNA from 1 species